rnacentral:rRNA from 1 species
AGAGUUNGAUCCUGGCUCAGAACGAACGCUGGCGGCAGGCUUAACACAUGCAAGUCGAGCGCCCCGCAAGGGGAGUGGCAGACGGGUGAGUAACGCGUGGGAACAUACCCCUCGGUUCGGAAUAGCUCAGGGAAACUUGAAUUAAUACCGAAUACGGUCGAGAGGCGAAAGAUUUAUCGCCGAGGGAUUGGCCCGCGUCCGAUUAGCUAGUUGGUGAGGUAAUGGCCCACCAAGGCGACGAUCGGUAGCUGGUCUGAGAGGAUGAUCAGCCACAUUGGGACUGAGACACGGCCCAAACUCCUACGGGAGGCAGCAGUGGGGAAUAUUGGACAAUGGGCGCAAGCCUGAUCCAGCCAUGCCGCGUGAGUGAUGACGGCCUUAGGGUUGUAAAGCUCUUUCGUCAGGGACGAUAAUGACGGUACCUGAAGAAGAAGCCCCGGCUAACUUCGUGCCAGCAGCCGCGGUAAUACGAAGGGGGCUAGCGUUGUUCGGAAUUACUGGGCGUAAAGCGCGUGUAGGCGGGUCUUUAAGUCAGGGGUGAAAUGCCAGGGCUCAACCUUGGAACUGCCUUUGAUACUGGAGAUCUUGAGUCCGGGAGAGGUGAGUGGAACUGCGAGUGUAGAGGUGAAAUUCGUAGAUAUUCGCAAGAACACCAGUGGCGAAGGCGGCUCACUGGCCCGGUACUGACGCUGAGAUGCGAAAGCGUGGGGAGCAAACAGGAUUAGAUACCCUGGUAGUCCACGCUGUAAACGAUGGAUGCUAGCCGUUAGGCAGCUUGCUGCUUAGUGGCGCAGUUAACACUUUAAGCAUCCCGCCUGGGGAGUACGGUCGCAAGAUUWAAACUCAAAGGAAUGACGGAA